GGGGAUUCCUCCCCUAUGGAUCCCCUCUAUUUCCGUGGUCGCCAAACUAGUCCUAAAGCUGUCACCUUACCUUACUGUCCAUAACUAUUUUGCCUUACAUAGUCUCAACCUCAAUGUGGAGAUUCUGUAAAUGCGCUAUUUUUUCUAAUGAUUCUAGUAACAAAAAAAAACCAUGACAGUUAAAGUCAGGUAAGUAGCCUGUUUUAAACAAGCACAUAUAUAUACAGAAUGAUCCUUGCAUGCUAAAAACACGACUGCAAAGUUUUGAUUGGAUACCCAUAAAACUAGUAUCAGUUUACCUUGUUAUCCAUAACCAUGCUGUAUUGCCUGAAGUUGUUCCGAACAUGCUACGCGACAGUGAGAUUCUAAAAAUAGAGAGUCAGUCUUUAUUAAAAAAUAAAAAAGCAACUCUGGUAAUAAAGUGAAUAUGCCAACUGCCAUAUAUGACUAUUUGAUGGUGCUAGAUUUUCUCCUGGACGCCCUGAUCAACCCUAUCAUUCACGUUCAACUUUUGCUUCGUUACAAUCCAAAUCCAUUCCGUAGCGUGUUGUGAUCCUGAAGCUGCUCUCUGCACCGCCCAAUAAGGUAGACCUCGACAACACUGACGGAAAAGAGUACCCGGAGACUGCAGCUCUUGAGUUCGUGGACUGCGUAUUGGAGGAAGGUGACCUGCUUUACAUUCCCCCGAAAUGGUGGCGUUACGUGAGAUCUCUCUCUAUUAGCUUUUCUGUUAGCUUUCGGUGGCGAACAUCACAGCUUCCUUGAGGGGAGGUUCAUAACGAUGGUUUUGACAAAUUUGAUCGUACGUCCACGAUGUCGUUCCAAUCAUCCUAUUGGUAGAGACUUAAUAAGAAGACUUCAUUGAGCUGAGCCCAUAUUUCGUGGUCUAAGUGUUGUGUGCGGUCGCCUCACUAGACUGGGAUUGUAAAUUGUUUUCACGACAAUGAUUGGUUUCAAACAUACUAAGCGGUACUAUCAGGUACUAGUGUGGCCGUUUUAUAUUGUGAACUGAUUCUGCAGUAUGGCCUAACUGUGUUCACCGAUUGAUAUUUUUUCUUUUCCUUUUCUUUUUCCUGAGUCAAAGGGAGCACGUUCAAAUGUAACUUUGAGGGCGGGCCAGCAUGUGAGAUAAGUGGCCGUCACGACGCCGGAUAACGGAGACGGCGUCUUUGCCGAGUGUUCUAAGUGACAUUCGGCAAACAAUUAACUUUGCCACAGCCCGCACUCGGCAAAGGGUCUACCAGCGGGGCCCUUUGUCAGCUUCUUUGUCGAGUGCUAUAGGAGGCAAUCGGCAAAGCUUGAACACAGCUUCCUUGAGAGGGGAAGUUCAUAACGAUGGUUUUGACAAAUUUGAUCGUACGUCCACGAUGUUCCAAUCAUCCCAUUGGUAGAGACUUAAUAAGAAGACUUCAUUGAGCUGAGCCCAUGUUUUGUGGUCACUAGACUGGGAUUGUAAAUUGUUUUCACGACAAUGAUUGGUUUCAAACAUACUAAGCGGUACUAUCAGGUACUAGUGUGGCCGUUUUAUAUUGUGAACUGAUUCUGCAGUAUGGCCUAACUGUGUUCACCGAUUGAUAUUUUUUCUUUUCCUUUUCUUUUUCCUGAGUCAAAGGGAGCACGUUCAAAUGUAACUUUGAGGGCGGGCCAGCAUGUGAGAUAAGUGGCCGUCACGACGCCGGAUAACGGAGACGGCGUCUUUGCCGAGUGUUCUAAGUGACAUUCGGCAAACAAUUAACUUUGCCACAGCCCGCACUCGGCAAAGGGUCUACCAGCGGGGCCCUUUGUCAGCUUCUUUGUCGAGUGCUAUAGGAGGCAAUCGGCAAAGCUUGAACACAGCUUCCUUGAGAGGGGAAGUUCAUAACGAUGGUUUUGACAAAUUUGAUCGUACGUCCACGAUGUUCCAAUCAUCCCAUUGGUAGAGACUUAAUAAGAAGACUUCAUUGAGCUGAGCCCAUGUUUUGUGGUCACUAGACUGGGAUUGUAAAUUGUUUUCACGACAAUGAUUGGUUUCAAACAUACUAAGCGGUACUAUCAGGUACUAGUGUGGCCGUUUUAUAUUGUGAACUGAUUCUGCAGUAUGGCCUAACUGUGUUCACCGAUUGAUAUUUUUUCUUUUCCUUUUCUUUUUCCUGAGUCAAAGGGAGCACGUUCAAAUGUAACUUUGAGGGCGGGCCAGCAUGUGAGAUAAGUGGCCGUCACGACGCCGGAUAACGGAGACGGCGUCUUUGCCGAGUGUUCUAAGUGACAUUCGGCAAACAAUUAACUUUGCC
rnacentral:lncRNA from 1 species